GAUGAAGAACGUAGCGAAAUGCGAUAAGUAAUGUGAAUUGCAGAAUUUAGUGAAUCAUCGAAUCUUUGAACGCACAUUGCGCCCGCCAGCAUUCUGGCGGGCAUGCCUGUUCGAGCGUCAUUUCAACCCUCGAGCCCCCCCGGGGGCCUCGGUGUUGGGGGACGGCACACCAGCCGCCCCCGAAAUGCAGUGGCGACCCCGCCGCAGCCUCCCCUGCGUAGUAGCACACACCUCGCACCGGAGCGCGGAGGCGGUCACGCCGUAAAACGCCCAACUUUCUUAGAGUUGACCUCGGAUCAGGUAGGAAUACCCGCUGAACUUAAGCAUAUCAAUAAGCGGAGGA
rnacentral:misc_RNA from 1 species